rnacentral:lncRNA from 1 species
AUAUAAGAAACAGUAGCUAAUAGACUGGACCAAUUAUAUGAAAACAAUCAUAUUCAUUAUAAUAACUACCCUACACAGUACAGGAUCAAGCAACUAUUUCGGACGUAACAUGUUUGCGUCGUUCUAUAAAAAAAUUGGGGUAUCGUCAUCAUCCUGCGACUACCAACUCUCUACUAGUCAGUGAACGGAGAACCGAGAGCACUAUCGCUUGAGGUAGCGGAGAGCAUCAAGCGGAUAAACUCUGUCUAAUUUUCAGCUAAUUCCCCUUCAGUGCUGGUCGGACACGGACCAUAUACCAUCCCCGAGUGGAUUUUUUUUGUCUGUGGGUGACCCGAACUGUUGGACGAAUUGAAAAAUAUUAUAAUUUGGCGUCGUAUCUAAGCAGAAACGAAAGUAUUGAGAGUGGUAUCCGAGGUUAGCCAGUUGGCUAACUGGGAAGGUUGCCUAGCUAGCUACUGCUGAGAAAAUACGAAGCGGAGGGAGACUACAGCGGCAAAAAGGGCCAUCGACGUGAGCUGUAUCCUGAAGAGGAGCUCUCCGUUUUUCUGGACACAUCAAGAGGAGUCGGAGUCCAUUUUGCUGUGUUCUACUCUGAUACUUUCGGAGCCUCCACUGACAGCCCUAACAGUGAGGGGCCAGGCCGGGAGCGGAGAGGAGAGCAACCCCCAGUGUGGCCUGACCGAGAGAAUCAAUGCCAAGCCCUUCUCCUCCUCAGACAGCCUAGUGAAGGUCCAGGAGGUAGCAAGCUGGCUUUUGGAAAUGAACCAGGAUCUGCUGUCGGGGGGCAGCAGGCGGGGCCUGGGGGGCCGGCGAGGGGGCCCGGGGGCCCAGCGAGGUAACGCCUCCUCCUCGGCCCGGACGCCCCAGGGCCAGCAGCCUGGAGAGGAGGCCGACGAGGAGGAGCACAUGAACCGGGUGGUGGAGGACCAAGAACACCAGCAGUCCAGAGUCCAGCCUGCGGCCUCGGCGGGGGGGGAAGGAGUGGAAGAGCCGUGGACCUCCAGGGAGAAUGGGCCCCGGGGAGACGGAGAGGAGGAGGAUGGAGGAGGAGUACCCAACGAGGUGAACGGAGGAGGGACUAAGGGCGGCCGGUGGAUGUGGGAGGCGGAGCGACGGCAACAGGGGGAGGAUGACGAGGAGGAGGAGGAGGAAGAGGAGAACAACAACAGUGGCAGCCAGCAGGGAGAGGAGGAGGAAAGGACAGAGGGAGGAGAGAGAACGGGGAGGGAGGACGAGGAGGAGAUGGACCAGGACAGUGAUGACUUUGAGCAUUCGGAGGAGAGCGGGAGGGAGGAAGAAGAGGAGGAGGAGGGGGAGGACGGCCUCCACUCACCCUCCACCAGGAGUGAUGCAUCUGUCCCCAACAACAACUUGGACCAGUCCUCGGGAUGCCAACACCAAAGCUCACCCAUCAAGAAGAAGGUAAGCAGCUCUUAUGUUUGUUCACUUUGUUUUCUAUAUGUGUAAGCCACACCGCCCUCCAGGCUCCUUGUCCUCGGACGCAUUCAUGCAUCAUUUGUCAGUCAAACAUACAUUUGUCAGUCAAACAUGCACCUUCGUCAUAAUACCCUUUGUGACAGGGUGAACGGGUGUUUAAUCACCACUAGGGGGCAAUACUUACCUACAUGCUCACACACAGAGAGAGAGAGAGAGCAGCAUGCAGCAGCUCAGCCCAGUGACAGCCCACCCCGUCCCCUUCCUCAUGUUACUCCUCUGUUACUCACCCUGGCUUGUGGUUGGUUGUAGCGCCACGGCUCAUUCAGCCCUCUGCUUAAUUGCCUGUCCCUGUUCUAUUUACCAGUGUACCGCAUUAGAGGUGCUUUGUACCUGUGCGUUUUAACAAGAUGCUGUGGGAACGCGCCAGGCUAGGCUGAUUAAACGAGCUGCAGUUGAUUGGAUUAGGGCAGUGACACCCUGAAGAGAACCCCUCGGGUCAUCGUUUGGUUUUGUCUGACUGUAGCAGUGUGGACCUUUCCCAGCAACCACUUUGCGUGCUUUGAGACGGUGCCUGUUCUGCUCUCUGCCAACUGGCCAACUCCCAUACACACACAUUUGUAUGUACGUAGAGUGGCCCUCUCUAUAUAUAUAUAUAUAUAUACACACACACACACACACACACAGUUUAGAGCCCCAUUGAAUGUGCAUGUUGUUAUGACAACUACAAGUGCAUGCAGCGCUCAGUCUUGCGUUAGGAUGUUGAGGGACACUUUUUGUCUGGUCUGGUUCUCCAGAUGAAUAUGAUGUUGAUCAUGAAUGACUGACAUUCACAAUACCAGGAAAAAUACAAUGUGGAUAUGAGAUGUGCUUUUUUUCCCCAGAAAAGUCUUUGAAUUUAGCCUUUUUAUUCAGCAGUGGUAUUUCUUUGAAUAUCAAUUUCCAUUGAAGGAUAUAUGUAUAUAUGUGCAUGUUCUCAGUUGAGCUAUUAGUGAAGGAAAGAGAACGAUAUGGUCUUUAGCUACAUUCAUAGUAAAUGGAAAGCAAGCAAAUAUGUGUUUUUGUAGAGAAAGGCCUGUUUAACUGACUUGUUAAUGUAGAUGAAUCGUCAUUCAGUGGAGAGGGAAGUGGACCACCGACUGUGUUCCCAUUGACUUAACAGUGUUAUUGGCCCGUCUUACAUAUUACUGAGCUCUGUUAACCACUCAAAGCAGAGCCAGACUGAAAUGCACUACAUUCAGUGCCUAGUGAAAUGAACUGCAUUCAGUCAGUGCUCGGUGAAAUGUGCUGCAGUGCCCGGGUAAUGGUCUAUAGAUUCUGCUCUGUGGACAAGCUGGCCAUUGUGGUGAUAGUGCUGUGGUGUGAUUAUACAGUGAUGUGAUGGAUGAAGUGUUGGCUCAACCUGCCGCCCAUUUGUGGCAGUCAGGGCAAGAAGUCAAGUAAAGCCAUCUGAUAAUUGCAUUUGUCCACCAACACGAUUAGCUAUAGGCAAAGAUCAGGGGACAGAGGGGCCAGUGUAUUCAGCCCCCACGGCUUGGCCUCCCAGCGGGAGGGGUGGUCCCCCUGGGUCCCAGCACACGAAAGAGGGCCACGCGUCACCACUGCAUGAUGGGGGUCGUUGACUGCUAACCCAGCGGCACACUGCCCGGCACAGUGUGGGAUGGCAGGGGCUGAGUGGAGAGCCUGGCGAGGCAUCAAUGAAGUUU